rnacentral:misc_RNA from 1 species
GAUGAAGAACGCAGCGAAAUGCGAUAAGUAAUGUGAAUUGCAGAAUUCAGUGAAUCAUCGAAUCUUUGAACGCACAUUGCGCCCGCCAGUAUUCUGGCGGGCAUGCCUGUCCGAGCGUCAUUUCAACCCUCGGACCCCUCCGGGGGGUCGGCGUUGGGGAUCGGGAACCCCUAAGACGGGAUCCCGGCCCCGAAAUACAGUGGCGGUCUCGCCGCAGCCUCUCCUGCGCAGUAGUUUGCACAACUCGCACCGGGAGCGCGGCGCGUCCACGUCCGUAAAACACCCAACUUUCUGAAAUGUUGACCUCGGAUCAGGUAGGAAUACCCGCUGAACUUAAGCAUAUCAAUAAGCGGAGGA